rnacentral:rRNA from 1 species
AUUGAACGCUGGCGGCGUGCCUAACACAUGCAAGUCGAGCGGUAACAGGUGUAGCAAUACAUGCUGACGAGCGGCGGACGGGUGAGUAACGCUUGGGAAUCUGCCUAUUAGUGGGGGACAACCCGGGGAAACUCGGGCUAAUACCGCAUACGCUCUACGGAGGAAAGCCGGGGACCGCAAGGCCUGGCGCUAAUAGAUGAGCCCAAGUCGGAUUAGCUAGUUGGUAGGUAAUGGCCUACCAAGGCGACGAUCCGUAACUGGUCUGAGAGGACGACCAGUCACACCGGAACUGAGACACGGUCCGGACUCCUACGGGAGGCAGCAGUGGGGAAUAUUGGACAAUGGGUGAAAGCCUGAUCCAGCGACGCCGCGUGGGUGAAGAAGGCC